rnacentral:rRNA from 1 species
AUUGAACGCUGGCGGCAGGCCUAACACAUGCAAGUCGAGCGGCAGCGGGGGAAAGCUUGCUUUCCCGCCGGCGAGCGGCGGACGGGUGAGUAAUGUCUGGGAAACUGCCUGAUGGAGGGGGAUAACUACUGGAAACGGUAGCUAAUACCGCAUAACGUCUUCGGACCAAAGUGGGGGACCUUCGGGCCUCCUGCCAUCAGAUGUGCCCAGAUGGGAUUAGCUAGUUGGUGGGGUAACGGCUCACCAAGGCGACGAUCCCUAGCUGGUCUGAGAGGAUGACCAGCCACACUGGAACUGAGACACGGUCCAGACUCCUACGGGAGGCAGCAGUGGGGAAUAUUGCACAAUGGGCGCAAGCCUGAUGCAGCCAUGCCGCGUGUAUGAAGAAGGCCUUCGGGUUGUAAAGUACUUUCAGCGGGGAGGAAGGUGUUGUGGUUAAUAACCGCAGCAAUUGACGUUACCCGCAGAAGAAGCACCGGCUAACUCCGUGCCAGCCGCCGCCGUAA